GACGAACGCUGGCGGCGUGCUUAACACAUGCAAGUCGAACGGAAAGGCCCUGCUUUUGUGGGGUGCUCGAGUGGCGAACGGGUGAGUAACACGAGAGUAACCUGCCCUUGACUUUGGGAUAACUUCAGGAAACUGGGGCUAAUACCGGACAGCAGCUCCUGCUGCAUGGUGGGGGUUGGAUAGUUUCGGCGGUUGGGGAUGGUCUCGCGGCUUAUCAGCUUGCUGGUGGGGUAGUGGCUUACCAAGGCUUUGACGGGUAGCCGGCCUGAGAGGGUGACCGGCCACAUUGGGACUGAGAUACGGCCCAGACUCCUACGGGAGGCAGCAGUGGGGAAUAUUGCACAAUGGGCGGAAGCCUGAUGCAGCGACGCCGCGUGCGGGAUGACGGCCUUCGGGUUGUAAACCGCUUUCGGCUGAGACGAAGCGUGAGUGACGGUAAUGGGUGAAGAAGCACCGGCUAACUACGUG
rnacentral:rRNA from 1 species